rnacentral:ncRNA from 1 species
AGAGUUGGACUGAGUCCCGCAGUGGGGUGCGGGAAAUGCAGUGUACAGAAGACCCCCCCCCCCAGUGUCACCCGUGGGAGGCCCAAGUUCCUCUGAUUGAGGCCUAGCCUGUGGACAGUGCAAGGCCAGCAGUGGCCCCUGGCGAGCCAGGCCCGGAUUCUCCCAGAGCCGGGCUGCCUGGGAAUGCAGCCCAAAGCAGGUGGUAAACUCCAUCCAAGGCUAAAUAUUGGCACGAGACCAAUAGUUAACAAGUGCCGAAAGG